UGGGGGAAGUGAUUCUUGUGUGCGUGUGUGUACCAAAGUUCUUAAUAAGGCAUGGGUAGAAAAGAAAUUAAAAAAAAAAAAGAGUGAAAAGAAAAAAGUUUGUUAAAAAAGGGUCCAAAACAUUGAAUUCGGCCCUAAGUGUUGCAUGAAUCUUCCCUUUGUAUUUAAAAGUUGAUUCUGCAUUCUAAAGUGAAUUCCAAGUGUCUAUUUCAUUACUUUGCUUGCUAUCGCUUUAAGAACGUUUGUUAUUGCUAUCCUUUCUUUAUUAGCCAUUACCCCUAAGCCCCGUUACAACCCUUGACUUCAAUCUUGAGUGUUGUGUGUUUCAAUUUGUGGAGUUCGAAAUUGGUUUGAGCAUAUGGUGUCACUGGUUCUCACAUCUAAGUAGUAGCAUUCCAUUCAUGAGAUCAUAUCUAAACAUGCUUAUUAACUCCAGAAAUUGCUUUCUUUGUUAUAACAUAUGUGAGUACUAGUCUUCCAUGUUUACAUCAAUCUGCUCACAUAUAACUAGUGUAUGGUGUGGUUAGAAAAUGUGUGUGAAAAUAGAGAGUAUCUUGUAAGAAAUUGAGCAAAUUCUCUAAGGCAUGUUACUACAUUCAAAAUAUGUUUUUAAUUGGUUAAUUGCGAACUAGUAAGUGGUGACUGUAAUUAAGUAUGUGCUCAAGUGUGAAGAUGACUAAAAGCUAUGGGAAUGAUGAUUUUUAACAUGUCAUGUGCAUUGGAAAUCCCUGAGGCAAAUGUUGGAAGGUUAAGUUGUGUUCUGUUUGUUUUGAUUCGUUUGUUUCUUUUGUUUUGCUCGAGGACUAGCAAAAGCUAAGUGAGGGGGAAUUUGAUAGAAGCAUAUUUAUGUGACUGAGUUAGCUUGUUUUCAUGCAUUUAUGUUGUUAUUCCUUAGUAGUUUUACUGUUUAAAGUCAUUUUUGUGCAAUUUCAGGUUCUAAGGACAAAGUAUGCAAAAAUGUGUAUUUUGGAGCCUUUUGGAGCAAUUUUGGGCUUGGAAUAAAUAUCACAUGCUUGGAACUAAAGGAAUGGACGAAAUUGAAGACCUAAAGAUGAGGAUUCCUACUUGAAGUAGGAAAGUUAAGCCAAGGUUUCCUAUUUUUGUUUGAUCUUUCCUAAAUCCUAAAUGUCCCUAAGUUCCAGCAACAUUGAAGGUUUCCUAUGCAUUUUAGGACACAAAUUAAGGGUUCCUUGUAACAUAACAAACAUUUGCCGUGCACUCCAUCCAUGUUUAAUUCUUGCAUCAAUCAUCACUUCACUUUCACCUUUGAAUCAUUUUAACACCACUCCAUUUUACCCAUGCUUUGCCUUGCACUUCCUCUAUAAAAGGAAGUGUGUGUAACAUAAAUUGAGUUCAUACUUUGUUAGAUCAUUCACUCCCAUUUCAACACAACCUUCAUCCAAACACAUCCAUUCAUCUUCACAUCCAUUCCUCCAUACAAACAAACCUUCAAACACUCACCAACACCUUGUGCCGUAGCAAAGGAAGGGAAGGAAAGUGCUUGGACGUGCUUGCUGUCCCACAUGGAUCAUUGGAGCGUUUAGAUGUUUUCUUUCUUUUGUUUCUAAUGUUUAAAUUCAUUUCCUUUCGUUUUGUUGUAAAUAUGAGUGGCUAAACCCCUCUUGGCUAGGGGUGAUUUCAAAGCCAUGAUUAUGUGUGCAAUAUAAUUUGAUAAAUUCCAGUUAUGAACUCUUGAAUCGUGAAUGCAAUUGGCUUAACUAUUUGAUUGAUAACUUAUUUGUAUUUGUUAAUUAAGGGUCGACACUUAAUUGGCAUGCAUAAAUCCGUUGCUAGAAUAUAAGGCAGUUUCACAUAAUCGUUACAAACUUAUAUUCACAUGUAGUGAAGGUCGCUUAUAAACGAUCGCGUUAAGUUCAAUUCCUAGCAUGAGUGACAUGAUGUCAUAGUUGCAAGUGCUUUGUCAAUGAUUAUGAUUUUCAUUAAACGUAAUGAUCUUUGAUUGUAUCUCUAUUAUGAUGUCAUGUAGGGAACUUUAGAAGAAUGUUUUGGGUUGUCGAAUGAUGUCAUCCAAUCCAAUAAAACAAGGAAAAUCUGAGAGUUAACUAGUGAUGUCACAGUUAAUUUGGAGCAUUGUCAUUCAUAAUUCAAUGAAGUAGUAACUAGAAAUCGAGUUAUUUGCAUACAUAUCAUGUGUGGAGAAAAAGCCUCUAGCUAUCUCAUCCAUCAUCUUAUUUCUCAAAUUUGUUUUGCAAUCUGUCUAGUUUUUCAUACUUGUUUGUUUGUUUCAACUUCGUCCAAAACUCAAUCCCCCUUUACUUUAGUGUAUCUAAUUAGUUAGAAUCUGUUUUAAUUUGUGUUUUUAAAUGUUUUGAUUUAAGUAAAAGUCAAUUUUCGUCCAAAGUCAUUCCUAGUGUCUAGUUUAAGUUUAUUUGGUUGUUUUAAGCUAUUUUGAGUAUUUUAAGUUUGCUUUGAGUCUUGUGAGUCUUGUUAAGUGUUUUUAAAUUUAGUUUUAUGUUUUUGAGUCAGUUUAGAGGUUAUUAGCAAGCCCUCCUAAUCCCCGGUCUAGAACGAUCCCUACUUACAUUCUUUACUACAAUUGAUAAAAGAGGGCUAAAUUUGUGUGUUAAGAUAAUUUUCGCAUCAGCCGCCGCCAUUACCCACACCGACAGGUUUGAUUUCUUCGCCCUGCACCAUACCCAACGACGAGAUCAAGG
rnacentral:lncRNA from 1 species